CCCAACCCAAAUGGGACAGUGGUUUUGCUGAACAAACCUAAAGAAAUCAAUAUGAUCGUUGAACGUAGGGUGGACCUCAUUUGCUAUAUGUGGAAUACUCCGACGCCUAAUCAAAAUGAAAAAGGUACAUUUCAGCUGUGUUUCAUCUGCAUACUCUGACGAUUCACGAUUUUAUAUUAACUCGUCAAACAUUUGCCUAUGGAGAGUCCAUCAAUAUAGCAGGUACCUCAGCGAUAUUCCUGGGAGUACAUCAACAGCUCUCCGAAGAGAUUCAAUAGGUCAGUUCAAGAUUGUCUUUAUAUUUUAUUUAUUUAAUUAUAUUGGCCCAACGCUCAAAUUUUAUUGGAAAGCUUAUUGAGAUUGUAAAGGAGAUUCUCUCCUUGGGUAUAUUAAUCUCUAACAAUUCCAAAAAGAAGAACUUUAACAAGUUCAGCUGAUCAUAUCAAAGUAUAUCCCCUUUUAAGUUCUUAUACAAAGUAUUUGCACUGGCUGUAGCUGAAAUUUAGUAUCCUAGACAAUGUGAUAUUAGUAUUAUGAUAUUGUAAAAGGUUCAAAUUAUGUA